rnacentral:rRNA from 1 species
UGAGCCCGCGGCCUAUCAGCUUGUUGGUGAGGUAAUGGCUCACCAAGGCUUCGACGGGUAGCCGGCCUGAGAGGGUGACCGGCCACACUGGGACUGAGACACGGCCCAGACUCCUACGGGAGGCAGCAGUGGGGAAUAUUGGACAAUGGGCGGAAGCCUGAUCCAGCAACGCCGCGUGAGGGAUGACGGCCUUCGGGUUGUAAACCUCUUUCAGCACAGACGAAGCGCAAGUGACGGUAUGUGCAGAAGAAGGACCGGCCAACUACGUGCCAGCAGCCGCGGUAAUACGUAGGGUCCGAGCGUUGUCCGGAAUUAUUGGGCGUAAAGGGCUCGUAGGCGGUUUGUCACGUCGGGAGUGAAAACCAGGUGCUUAACACCUGGCCUGCUUUCGAUACGGGCAGACUAGAGGUACUCAGGGGAGAAUGGAAUUCAUGGUGUAGCGGUGAAAUGCGCAGAUAU